GCCUAGCUCAGUUGGUUAGAACGUGGAGUUGAUAACGCCAAGGUUGCAGGUUCAAUCCCCGUAUGGGACAGCUGCA